ACAUACGACCAUACCCACUGGAGAACUCGGGAUCCCGUCCGCUCUCCUAUAUAGAUAAGCCAGUGAGGGCUGGAGCGGUGACGACCGGCGAAUGCCCGGUGUUGUAUGUA
rnacentral:rRNA from 2 species